UGGGGAAUAUUGCACAAUGGGCGCAAGCCUGAUGCAGCCAUGCCGCGUGUAUGAAGAAGGCCUUCGGGUUGUAAAGCACUUUCAGCGAGGAGGAAGGCGUUGUGGUUAAUAACCGCAACGAUUGACGUUACUCGCAGAAGAAGCACCGGCUAACUCCGUGCCAGCAGCCGCGGUAAUACGGAGGGUGCAAGCGUUAAUCGGAAUUACUGGGCGUAAAGCGCACGCAGGCGGUCUGUCAAGUCGGAUGUGAAAUCCCCGGGCUCAACCUGGGAACUGCAUCCGAAACUGGCAGGCUAGAGUCUUGUAGAGGGGGGUAGAAUUCC
rnacentral:rRNA from 1 species